rnacentral:rRNA from 1 species
CAGGCCUAACACAUGCAAGUCGAGGGGUAACAGGGGUAGCAAUACCUGCUGACGACCGGCAAACGGGUGCGGAACACGUACGCAACCUUCCCAAAACUGGUGAAUAGCCCUCCGAAAGGAGGAUUAAUACACCGUAACAUAAUGAAGUGGCAUCACUUUAUUAUUAUAGCUCCGGCGGUUUUGGAUGGGCGUGCGCCUGAUUAGGUAGUUGGCGGGGUAACGGCCCACCAAGCCUGCGAUCAGUAACUGGUGUGAGAGCACGACCAGUCACACGGGCACUGAGACACGGGCCCGACUCCUACGGGAGGCAGCAGUAAGGAAUAUUGGUCAAUGGACGCAAGUCUGAACCAGCCAUGCCGCGUGAAGGAUGAAGGCCCUCUGGGUUGUAAACUUCUUUUAUCUGGGACGAAAAAGAUCAUUCUUGAUCACUUGACGGUACCAGAGGAAUAAGCACCGGCUAACUCCGUGCCAGCAGCCGCGGUAAUACGGAGGGUGCAAGCGUUAUCCGGAUUUACUGGGUUUAAAGGGUGCGUAGGUGGGUCUGUAAGUCAGUGGUGAAAUCUUCAAGCUUAACUUGGAAACUGCCAUUGAUACUAUAGGUCUUGAAUUAUCUGGAGGUAAGCGGAAUAUGUCAUGUAGCGGUGAAAUGCUUAGAUAUGACAUAGAACACCAAUUGCGAAGGCAGCUUACUACGGAUCGAUUGACACUGAGGCACGAAAGCGUGGGGAUCAAACAGGAUUAGAUACCCUGGUAAUCCACGCCCUAAACGAUGGAUACUCGACAUACGCGAUAUACUGUGUGUGUCUGAGCGAAAGCAUUAAGUAUCCCACCUGGGAAGUACGAUCGCAAAAUUGAAACUCAAAGGAAUUGACGG